rnacentral:rRNA from 1 species
UACGGAGGGUGCAAGCGUUGUUCGGAUUUAUUGGGCGUAAAGGGCGUGUAGGCGGUUCGUUAAGUCUGAUGUGAAAGCCCCGGGCUCAACCCGGGAAGUGCAUUGGAAACUGGCGAACUUGAGUACGGGAGAGGGCAGUGGAAUUCCUAGUGUAGGAGUGAAAUCCGUAGACAUUAGGAGGAACACCGGUGGCGAAGGCGGCUGCCUGGACCGAUACUGACGCUGAGACGCGAAAGCGUGGGGAGCAAACGGG